rnacentral:rRNA from 1 species
CCUACGGGAGGCAGCAGUGGGGGAUAUUGCACAAUGGGGGGAACCCUGAUGCAGCGACGCCGCGUGGGUGAAGAAGCGCCUCGGCGCGUAAAGCCCUGUCAGCAGGGGAGAAAAGAACGGGACCUGACGAAGAAGCACCGGCUAACUACGGGCCAGCAGCCGCGGUAAUACGUAGGGGGCAAGCGUUAUCCGGAUUUACUGGGUGUAAAGGGGGCGCAGAGGGCGAUGCAAGCCAGGAGUGAAAGCCCGGGGCCCAACCCCGGGACUGCUCUUGGAACUGCGUGGCUGGAGUGCAGGAGGGGCAGGCGGAAUGCCUGGUGUAGCGGUGAAAUGCGUAGAUAUCAGGAGGAACACCGGUGGCGAAGGCGGCCUGCUGGACUGCAACUGACGUUGAGGCCCGAAAGCGUGGGGAGCAAACAGGAUUAGAUACCCGGGUAGUC